rnacentral:rRNA from 1 species
CCCUUAGACGUUCUGGGCCGCACGCGCGCUACACUGACGAAGGCAACGAGCUUUCCUUUACCGAAAGGUACGGGUAAUCUUUUGAAACUUCGUCGUGCUGGGGAUAGAUCCUUGCAAUUAUUGAUCUUAAACGAGGAAUUCCUAGUAAGCGCAAGUCAUCAACUUGCGUUGAUUACGUCCCUGCCCUUUGUACACACCGCCCGUCGCUACUACCGAUUGAAUGGUUUAGUGAGGCCUUCGGAUCCGCAACUCGUUUUGUGGAGAAGUUGGACAAACUCAGUCAUUUAGAGGAAGUAAAAGUCGUANCA